UUUGAUGCAUUACCUUCCUUGAUAUCCAUACCCGUUAUAGAUACUUCUUUGGAAGUAUCAAAAUUUGAUUUACAAAAAUGCUUAGCCCUGCUUAGAUCUUGUGGAUGGAAGUUGUCUUUUGCGUUAAGGCCUUGCUCAGGGGUUAUCCUGAGGAAAGAUGACUUCUACCUGCAAGAAUAUAUUUUCAUUGGGAGCAUGGUGGGAUCUUACUGCAAAGUUCCCUGUGAUGCUCUUUUCAUCCUAAGGAACAGAAACAAUCCUAAGGAUGGAAAUACUUAAAUCGAGACUUGGGCUAGGAACAGGUGAUGUUCUACCCAGGUUGAUUAAGGAUUGAAUGCGUAUGUAGGCUUGAUAGAGUAAGGACUAUCUUAGCUAGCCGCAUACCCUGGAAAUGGGACAGGGUAAGCUUUGCCUCGGGCAGACUAAGGCCAGAAUAAGAUAACACGAAAUGAGCGUGGAGCGGUGGCGGGAGUAGCGUGUACCCUCCGUGGCAAGAGGCUGGACGGUGGUGUAUCUGUGCUCUCGGUUUGCGUGAACCUGAUCUGGUCUUAAGAACCCUGGGGUCGAGUUGACAUAUGCAAGGAUUAAGUGCUACAUAUGUCGUGUGGUUAGAGAUCCUCAGCUGAGUAAAUCGAUUCGGAUCGCCGUUAUAUCCCCGGAGAGUGGAGACUUGAUCACUGCCCUACAACCUAAGUCAGGAUGUGAACUUCGUAAAUAAAAAUGAUGUUGUAUUGAUGAGAUGAUGAAAUUAGACUAGAGGCAAACAGAGUCUAUUAAUAUUUAAUCUGGCGUUAAAAUAUUGAAAGUAAGGACUCACUUUAGUAAGCUAUUUCUGCAAAAGUAUCUAAGUUGAUUCUUGCUAAAGCCUCUCCUUGAUUCCUAUUUAUCCAGCAUACCCUUGAGAGUCUUUUCUUUAGUCGGGUAAGACUUGCUGAGUAAUUCCAUACUCAGGGUUUAUCCCUUUGUUGUUUUUAGGUGAGGAAGCGACAAAUUUUUGUUGCUUUUGCUCCAAGGUGGUAUCAAAUGAAGAAAAGCAAGAGUGAAGAUGCGGGAGGACGUGGUCCUCCAUAUAGGACUUUUUGUUUAAAGCUAUCGGGAGGAGUUUUUGCCUCCCUUGAUAUGUGUACUACUCAGCACUCGUUUAUAGCUCUGGUCUGUAAUAAGUAACUUGAUCUUACUUUCUAAAUAAAUGUAAGUUUAUGUAAUAGCUUCCGCAUUUCUUUAUCUCCGAUGUUCUGUAAUGUCUGCAAGACGGGUGAAACGUUCCUGGUAAGGUAAGAAAGAAGAUACCGAACUUGUCGAGUGAUUCAGGAACAUCUACAGGGUUGUCUGAUGUCUGUUGGACAAGGACAACUGUAGGUGGGCCUAAUUACUUGGGAGGUUCCGUCACAGCUGGUAUCGGAGCGUAGCCCUUCUCUGCAGAUAUUAUUAGGCAUCUUCAAAAGAUUUUCUAAAGUCUUAUCUACAAAAUCUUUUCCCUUCUUAUCUAAGAAAUUCUGAAGAGUUUAUUUUAAAGACCAUAUAGGAAGAGUGCAAUGUAUAGAAGGUGUGAAUCAACCAAGGUUGAUUCUGUAAUUACACAUGCAUCAUGUCAUACAACUUUAAGUUAAACCCCCUGCGUAGCUAUUUUAGUGUAUGAAUCAUCUACCUUGUUCAUACAUCUUUAGUGAAUAGAGUGUAUCCGUUGCCCUUCUCUAUAGAUGAAUCAACAAGAAGCCCCUACGGGAGUUGGAGAGUUUCUACGAGAUUUUGGUGUUCCAGUGGUCCUGUGGCGACUACUUCAAGAAGUCGGAUAUACCGAAGCACCCAAGUACCAGUGGUCAUGCACGGUUCUUAGAGGACAACCAUGGUAUGAGGUAGUAGUGCGUAUUCCAGAACGUGCUAGAAAACCAUCUUGGCCAUAUUGGAUGUUCCAUGCUGAAGGAAUGACUCCUUGGGAGGGUGCUCAGGUAGCUGCCUUAGAGGCGCUAACAACCAUUUGUUACCAGAAAUGGGAAGAAAUACAAGCCACAUCUAUGAAGUUGUUCCCUGCAGUUGCCUUAAGUGACCCAUUUGUGUAUCAUCACCAGGCCCGAUUAAUGGAAAGCAUUCCUAUUGGGCAGGAUUCUGUUGAAUCGGCAUCUGCUCGAGUUUUGAUGGCCGUGCUAGAGUUGCAACUUACUCGAGGGCACAGUCGUCAAAAGUGGCAGCAGUUGUACACUGGAAGUUAUGCAACAUUUAAGAUGAUGGAAAUGGCCAAGAAUAGGGCUUGUACCCAGGCACAAGAACGACUUGAGGAAACAAAGGUUCAAGCGGAACAGAUUAUUAGACUAGAGCAUCAGGUGACAGAAUUUCAGACGCAACACCAAGCUGAUCAGAAUCGCAUUAAGGAGCUUGAGCAUCAGCUAACUAAUGCUCAUUCUAAAUCAAAAGUUUUGAGUCAGCAACAAGAAGAAAUUCGCUCGUAUGCUGUUACUGUUAGGGAAGAACUUAAAGAAACCAUGGGCUUCCUAAGUCAUCAGGAUCAGGUGCUUGAGGAGUUGCAUCGUACCUAUCCGAUGGAAUUUCAAACAGCGCAGCGACUGGUCAACCAUCUGCAACAAACGGUGCAUAUGCUCAAUGGCGCCUUUUAUUCUGCCCCAACACCAACGGACUAAAAGGUACCUAUGGAGCAUGGAAACAAACAUCUGGCAGAUGUGAUAACUGGAGAAGAUAUAGCAGACAACUUAAUCCUCGUGAGGCAAUAUAACUAUGUAAAAUAGUUUUGAAGGGUGGAUGUAAGGUAAACCCAUAUGGCAAUGUUAGCUAGUAAAAAAAACAGGUUAAACUUUGUUGUAAAGAGUUUAUCCUGUUUCACCUGGAUCAUGUAACCUGUGAACUUUUCUAUGACUAUGGUGUAAGAAACAACUGCCUGUUUCAGAAGCAACUUUUAAUAUCUAUAGCCGUUUGUCGAAUCCCAAGAGUUAAAAUGGCUAUUCCUUUGGAUAUUCCCUGUGGAUGCACGUGUGUGGAUAAAUGACUUGGUACACGCUGGUACCAUAGUUUCUGGUUGUGUUUCGUGAUGAAAUGGUACCACCGUGAUUUUCCAUGUGAGUCUGUUGAACGAGAAAUGGACAAAUGGAUAGACUUUAUCCAAAACAAAUUAGAUGCAACAUCUUGGGUAAAACACAGAAAGAGAUUCAUCGCUGAGUCAUCAUUGGAAAUCCGUAGCAUCGGAGACGAGUGCGAAUGUUGAACGACAUCGUGGUUAACUCGUGAUUAAGCGAAACAGAACACUUCCCCUGCCUUGUAAGUGAGAUUAGGAAAUAAGUCAGUGACGCGUUUCCUUCUCUAUUACUGAGCCUGGACUUUUAAAUCUCGGGACGAGAUUUCUUUUUAGGGGGGAAGGCUGUAACACCCCUGGUGUUACGUGAACUAAAACUCUGACAUGUCAUCAUAAGCAUUUGCAUUAACUUGCUUGUUACACCUAGAAUGCAUUUACUAGGUUAAAAUUUUCGAUUCAAAAGUGUGAUGUUGUGUGUCGAGUAUAGGACUUAGGUUGAAAAACUUGCUUAGAAUUAUGGAUAAACAAAGCAACUCCUAAACCAAGGACACUUUGGACAUGAGUUUCAUGUACUAAAGUUGGAUUUGAGACUAAGGAGUCACUUGGCUUUUAGGAGGAUAGAUUGAGUUGGUAAAUCACUAGAUGAGAAGGAACCACAAUUGAAACCCUAAAUUUGCCCCAAACGAGGAAUUCAAAAUCUAGAGAGAAUUGGGCAAAAAUUAAAGUACCAAAGGUGUAGGGCUUGGAAAAGUGAAUAACUUUCUUAUUUGGAGAUUCCCAAGUUGUGUGGAAGAAUUUAGAGCUAAGUAUAAAAAUUCAGUUUUGAGUUUAGAUUGGAAUUUCUGAAAAUAAUAUCAACUAGCCAACUUUGGACCAUUGUAACUUUUGAUUUAUAAGCAUUUUGAAGAUGAUAAUUAUAACCAAGUUAUAGAGCUACAUGAGGAGUAUAAGUUUGGUUAAGUCACCUAGCCCUAAAACUGUUUGGAACUUAGAGAAAACCUGGUCCAAAGUAAAGCUGUCAGAAAUUGUAGGUUUCAGACUUAGUGAAAUUCAGAUUCUGAAUUUCAGCAAUUGGAGCAAACUUUGGGCUAUUGUAGUUUGUAAUCCAAGAGGUUUUGGUUAAUGGUCACUACAUCAAACUUGUAGAGGAACUAUAGGAGUAUAAACUUUAUUAAGCAACUUGCCCCUAUAAACAUUUGGAACCCAGGAAAAAGAAUGGUUCCAAGUGGUGCUGCUGUAUUUCUGAAUUUUCAGAUGGUGAACAGUCAACUGAACUGAAUUCAGUGUUUUGAUAGCAGUUUUGGAGCUUGUUUGUGGCUGUUCUAUAAGGUUUUAUACUAUGGUGCUUAUAGAGGAAUUAAAGACCAUAUAUUGGUGAACAACUUCCUUAAAGGGUGAUGGACAUGAUCCCAUACAAGAAUUGGAAUAACCACUGCUUAAAGUGGGACUGUGUUGUGGCUGAAACUGAAUUAUAUUCAGUUUUUGAAAACUGAAUUUCAGUGAAAGUUGCUGAGUUUGGAGCUCUUUUGUGAUCAGUUCAUGAGGUUUUGAACAAAUAACUAUAUAGCAAAGUUGAAUACCAGAGUAUACUGAACAAGUUUGCUAAAGUGAGACGAACCUGGUUCCACAUAGAUUUGGGAGUAAAAGUAGCCAAAAAGGUGGACUGUCAGGUGUUGGGAUUCAGACUUAGAAUAAUAUUUAAGUCUGAAUAUGUGUGUUUUUACCCAACUUUGGGGUCUUGUGGUAAUAAAUCAAAAGAGAUUUGAGUUAGGAAUUCUGUAACAAACUGAAAGGCCAUAUAUAGGAGAACAAAUUCUCUUAAGUGAUGUUGGUCUGGUGCUACACAAAAUUUGGAGUAAAUGCCCCAAGAAAUGGCACUAUGUGAACUCUGAACUAAAUUCGGAGGACUGAAACCAGGUUCAGUGAAUUGUGGCUGAUUCUUGGACACUAUAACUUGUGAUACAUGCAGAUUGGGUCCCAGAUUCUUGUAACAAACUUCAAGAGCCUUAGUUAAUGAACAAGUUUGGUUAUGAAGGAUUGGUCUGUUGCUAUAUAAAAAUUGUGAGAAAAUAGGGCUUCAACAGAGAGGCCUGCAACUGCAUGGGAUCAGUGGUGUGCUAGUUCAGUCCAUUGUUGGGUUGGUUUAUUGUUUUUCUUGGGAUUUUGGAGCUGUUUUGUGUCUGAUCCGAGGGGUAUAAGACUAAGGUCCCAAUGGCAAAUUGUUAGAGGGUUAGUUGGUGAACAAAGUUCAUUAAGGUUGGUUCUCCUGUUGUUGCUAGGAACUGGGAGAGAUGAAGGGGUGAAGUUGUGAACUCAGUCAAACAGCAGCAACUCAGUGUACUCCAAGAAUAUCUGAAGGAGAUCUUUUUAUCCCUGCUGGUUUCUCUAGUGUGCUCGAAUUGAGAUGUGGUUGGUCUAGUCAACAAAAGAUCUAGUAGCCUCACCCCUGCAGAAAAAUAUCAAUUUUGGACCCAUUGCUGCCUGUAACAGGUGGAGUUCUCAUCUAAUAUUUCUGUAGUAUGUCAUAGGAUAUUUUGGCUAUUAAGGCUGACCAGAUUCAGUGUCCCAGCUGCCCCUAUGAUCGUGUGCUGUGCUGGUGCAUGGGAGCCACAUCAUUGGGCUCAUAUGUUGGUGGCACUCAAGGAAACACCCUUCCCUGCAUGUUGAACAUGUGUAGGGACACCUUGCCCCAUAUUCAGCUAUUUAUAGGGCUUGGUUUUGGACAGAUUUCCCUCCCUGCCUUAAGCUCCAGCCAUAGUCCACUAUGGGGGCGUGGGGAUCCUGGUGUUUUGCUGGUGUUAACCUUCCCCACAGCGACCUAGUUUGCUUCAGCCAGUGCAUCAUGUGACCAUGGUGACCAUGCAACCCGAGUGCUCUUCUCACCGUGGCCAGGUAAUUUCAAGGUUUCCUUAGCCAAGCUAUACAUGUUUUGUGCUCUACAUAAGAUAGAGAAGCUCAUGUGAUGGUGAACAAAUCUCCUUAAGACAGUUUUGUUGGAUGUUAUAUGAAAAUUGGAGUAAAAGUGGUCUACAAUAGGGCUAUCAGAUUUCAGACUUAGUGAAAAUUCUGAGUCUGAAUUUGUAUGUUUUGGUGCAGCUUUGGAGCUCUUUGUUGCUCUAUCCAUAGAGUUAUAGCUUAUGGCCACUAUAACAAAGUUGUAGAUCUGUUAUUGGAGUACAAGUUUGAUUAAGCGAUCUGAUCCAAAAACUAUAUAGAACUAAGUGUAAAGCUUGCUUAAAAGUGGGCUAUCAACUUCUGGGUUUCAGACAGCUAAUUGGCUAUGUCUGAAUUUUAGUAAACUUUAGCCAUGUUUGGACCUUUGUAGUGGCUAACCUGUAGGGAAUUAAAUUAUGUCUCUUAUAGCAAAGCAAUAGAGCUAUAGUAGAAGACCAGGUUUGGUUGAAGGCUAUACCCUAGAAGCUAUUUGGAACUAGGAGAAAAAGUGAGCUAAAGUGGAGCUGGUAGAAUUCUGGAGUUUUAGAUAAAUUCAGUGUUGAUGGCUGUUUUUGGACCUUGUUUGUGGCCAAUUCAUGAAGCUUUGGAUUAUGGUUUUGGUAGAGGAAGUGAAGACCAUAUGGUGGUGAAAAAGUUCCAUUAAGUAAGUUUGGCCUUUUCCUUUUCUAGAGAACUUGUGAAUAGCGCUAAAAAUAGUUGAAAAUUCCAAAAAUCAUGGGACAAAUUUUGUUGGAUGUCUAAAAUCAAGAGCUCUCUGGUAAAGUUGGUUUUAGGAUUUUUAGAGCAAUUAGAAAGUAUUAAGUGAAUUAAAGGUGCUUUUGAAAGGACUGUUUGGAUUUUAGAAAUAAAAGUACAAUGGCAAAAAUUGUGGAAAAUUUUGAGUAACCUUGCUUUGGUCUUUGGAGGGUGUGAUAAAGGUUUGAGGCUAUUUGGAGUCCAUUUGCUAUGAGAACUUUGUAAGCCCCAAAAUAGAGUGGUUAAUCCUUAAUCAAGUGUGGGUUAAUGCUUUGGAAAGGAGAUAAGUUUAUCUAGGGAAGAGAUGAAGUUGCUUAAGAAGUUUUAAGCUUUUGGAUGAGAUAUAAGUGGAUUAAUUCCCUGGUUUACCUAAGUGAUUUCAAAUUGGUCACUUUAAUCGAGCGAUAAGAAAUAAGUGUAUUCUUGUCAUGUGCUUUAGUUGUAGUGUUUCUGUUCUCCACCUCUCCUUGUGAGAGUUUGCAUUACAUGGCAUUCAUUCUUAUAUACACCUAUAUAUGGUUAUGUUUAGAAAACGAAGAAGAGAUCGAAGUGACUCAAGAGAAGACAUCACCACCUUUGAAAUCUCAGGCAGGGACUUGGCUCUACUUCGACAUCUGCGAGUCCGAGCCUGACUCGCCUAUAAACAAAGGCAAGCCCCGGUGCAUGCAACCCCUUCCUUGUGUUUUUAAAUACUUUUCGCACACUUUAAGUCUAGUGAAAUGUGCAUUAAGUUUAUAGGAGUUGCUUGAAACCCUUUGAUGCAUUACCUUCCUUGAUAUCCAUACCCGUUAUAGAUACUUCUUUGGAAGUAUCAAAAUUUGAUUUACAAAAAUGCUUAGCCCUGCUUAGAUCUUGUGGAUGGAAGUUGUCUUUUGCGUUAAGGCCUUGCUCAGGGGUUAUCCUGAGGAAAGAUGACUUCUACCUGCAAGAAUAUAUUUUCAUUGGGAGCAUGGUGGGAUCUUACUGCAAAGUUCCCUGUGAUGCUCUUUUCAUCCUAAGGAACAGAAACAAUCCUAAGGAUGGAAAUACGUAAAUUGAGACUUGGGCUAGGAACAGGUGAUGUUCUACCCAGGUUGAUUAAGGAUUGAAUGCGUAUGUAGGCUUGAUAGAGCAAGGACUAUCUUAGCUAGCCGCAUACCCUAGAAAUGGGACAGGGUAAGCUUUGCCUCGGGCAGACUAAGGCCAGAAUAAGAUAACACGAAAUGGGCGUGGAGCGGUGGCGGGAGUAGCGUGUACCCUCCGUGGCAAGAGGCUGGACGGUGGUGUAUCUGUG
rnacentral:lncRNA from 1 species